rnacentral:rRNA from 1 species
CGGACGGGUGAGUAACGCGUGAGGAUCUACCUCUAGGAAAGGAAUACAUAAAAUUAAAUCCUUAUAUGCUUUACAGUGAAAAAAGAAAUUUGCCUAGAGAUGAACUCGCGUCUGAUUAGUUAGUUGGUGGGGUAAUGGCUUACCAAGACGAUGAUCAGUAGCUGGUUUGAGAGGAUGAUCAGCCACAUUGGAACUGAGACACGGUCCAAACUCCUACGGGAGGCAGCAGUGGGGAAUUUUCUGCAAUGGGCGCAAGCCUGACAGAGCAAUGCCGCGUGAGGGAUGACGGCCUUUGGGUUGUAAACCUCUUUUUUCAAGGAGGAAGUUCUGACGUGUACUUGAAGAAUAAGCAUCGGCUAACUCCGUGCCAGCAGCCGCGGUAAGACAGGGGAUGCAAGUGUUAUCCGGAAUUAUUGGGCGUAAAGCGUCUGUAGGUGGUUUAACCAGUCUAUUGUUAAAGCUUGAAACUUAACUUCAGAGAUGCAGUAGAAACUAUUAAACUAGAGUAUAAUUGAGGUAGAAGGAAUUUCCAGUGGAGUGGUGAAAUGCGUAGAUAUUGGAAAGAACACCAAUUGCGAAGGCAUUCUAUUAAAUUAUUCUGACACUCAGAGACGAAAGCUAGGGUAGCAAAAGGGAUUAGAUACCCCAGUAGUC